rnacentral:tRNA from 1 species
GGGGAUUUAGCUCAACAGCACAGCGCCUACCUGGCAAGCUGGAGGUCCCGAGUUCAAUCCCCAGUAUCCCCC